GACGAACGCUGGCGGCGUGCCUAAUACAUGCAAGUAGAACGCUGAAGGAAGGAGCUUGCUCUUUCUGGAUGAGUUGCGAACGGGUGAGUAACGCGUAGGUAACCUGCCUGGUAGCGGGGGAUAACUAUUGGAAACGAUAGCUAAUACCGCAUAAAAUUGAUUAUUGCAUGAUAGUCAAUUAAAAGGUGCAACUGCACCACUACCAGAUGGACCUGCGUUGUAUUAGCUAGUUGGUGGGGUAACGGCUCACCAAGGCGACGAUACAUAGCCGACCUGAGAGGGUGAGCGGCCACACUGGGACGGAGACACGGCCCAGACUCCUACGGGAGGCAGCAGUAGGGAAUCUUCGGCAAUGGACGGAAGUCUGACCGAGCAACGCCGCGUGAGUGAAGAAGGUUUUCGGAUCGUAAAGCUCUGUUGUAAGAGAAGAACGAGUGUGAGAGUGGAAAGUUCACACUGUGACGGUAUCUUACCAGAAAGGGACGGCUAACUACGUG
rnacentral:rRNA from 1 species